rnacentral:ncRNA from 1 species
UUGAGCCGUAUGCGGGGAAACUCGCACGUACGGUUCUUAGGGGGGGCGCUCUUCCGUGAGGAAGGGUGCCUACCCUAC